CCGUUCUUGUGUUAACUGCUAAGCGAUUCCUCCAGCUCAGCGAUCGUCAAACAGAACGCACAUCAAAAGGCAACUAAUCACUCCAUAAUGAUGGGUCUUAUAAAACCAGGACCACCUCAUUACUAAAUAUUUGCUACAGUU